AAAUGCAACAUAAAUGACUGAUUUGGGUGGUUGUUGGUCUAGCCAUUUCAUGCAAGUUGAAAUUGGUAUAAUCUCUGAGGUCAAUGUGAAUGGCAAUGCUCCAGGCUCAAGAUCAUAUGCUGAGUUACAAAUUUUCCGGUCUGCCAUUUUCGUAAUCUUGAUGGUUUUAAACGCAUUGCUGGAGUCAACUGAAUCAUUUGGUUCUUCAGCGAGUUCCUUAACAGAGUGAAAAUUUAUAAAGAACUGCACGUCUUCCCAGUGAACUUUUAAUCCUACUUUACAAUGUCUAAUGUGGGAAUGCCAAAAUAUGCUGUGUUUAGUUAAUCAUCGGAAUGCGUUCAUUUAUCACUUCCAAGAAUCCUAUUUUGCACACCAUUUGUUUGAGUAAUGUACGGUGAAUAAUUUGUGGAUCAUUUUUGUAAGUUAUCCCAAAAAACAUCAAGGUUAUUUCUGUUUGUCUCUCUUGUAAUGCAUAUGGUGCAGGCCUGCAGGGUUGCAAACUCAGGCUUACCCUUCCCUUGG
rnacentral:misc_RNA from 1 species